CUGGUGCUCGCCGAGGAACGGCACCGCCCCGGCGGCCGUCUCGGUGGCCGACGCCUGGCCGCCACCGGCGAUCAACGCGCCCGCGCCGGCC
rnacentral:tRNA from 1 species